rnacentral:lncRNA from 1 species
CUUCAAGGUGUGGAAUGUUUUUGCUUUCUAUCCUCCCUAUCCCGGCUACGGUAAUUUCUAAAAUCAUUAGUCUUUGCCGUAGUUUCUUUUGGGGGGGUAAGAAACCUUUGGUUGCUUGGAACACUAUUUGCCUCCCUAAGGUUGAGGGGGGGACUCGAUUUUAGGGACUUGAAAUGUUGGAAUUCAGCACUCCUUUCUAAAACACUUUGGAAUAUCCAUUGUAAGAAGGACUCACUUUGGAUUAAAUGGAUCAAUGAAGUCUACCUUUAAGGGACAGAUUUUUGGGUGUAUAGUGUGAAGAAACAAGACUCUCCACGCAUUAAGAAGCUGGUCGACAUUCGGGACAGCAUUAUUGCUGCCCAAAGUGAUGGAAUUUCAGCAUUGGACAGAUUGUGUAGCCGCACAGAUUCUGGAAUUUUUUCUAUUUCAGCAGCUUAUGACUACUUCAGGUCAAAGGGGGGACUUCUUCUCUGGUCUAGAACGGUUUGGGAUGGUUCCAUCACUCCCAAACACGUGUUUAUUUUAUGGUUAGCUGCCCAUUGUAAGCUCCAGACGAGGGACAAGCUAUUGCACUUGGAGAUGGACCGAAUCUACCCACUGUGUGAGGUGCUGGAUGAAUCUGUCCAGCACUUGUUUUUUGGAUGCCGGGUCACUUUCGAAGUAUGGAAACAGAUCAGAUUUUGGUUGGGUAUUAGGCGUUCCAUGUCUACUUUGCCUAGCUCUUUUAAAUGGUUGAAAAAAGAAAUGCGGGUGAAGAGUUGGCCGAGCUGUGCUAAACGGAUUGCUUUUGCUACUACUGUCUACUAUAUUUGGAUGGCUAGGAAUUGUUGUGUUUUUGAUGGUACGAAAGU